GGGAAUGAGUGUCGUCUGGUGACGGCCGGGGACUUCAAAUCCUUUUGUCGGGCGCGUUUACCGUCCGAGGUGGGUUCGAUUCCCACACAUUCCCGCCA
rnacentral:tRNA from 1 species